UACGGUAGGCAGCGAGCGUUGUUCGGAAUUACUGGGCGUAAAGAGUGUGUAGGCGGUGCUCUAAGUUCGGUGUGAAAUCUCCUGGCUCAACUGGGAGGGUGCGCCGGAAACUGGAGUGCUUGAGCGUGGGAGAGGAAAGCGGAAUUCCUGGUGUAGCGGUGAAAUGCGUAGAUAUCAGGAGGAACACCUGUGGUGUAGACGGCUUUCUGGACCAUAGCUGACGCUGAGACACGAAAGCCGUGGGUAGCAAACAGG
rnacentral:rRNA from 1 species